GGGUGAGUAAUAUAUCGGAACGUACCCAAGAGUGGGGGAUAACGUAGCGAAAGUUACGCUAAUACCGCAUACGAUCUAAGGAUGAAAGUGGGGGAUCUUCGGACCUCAUGCUCCUGGAGCGGCCGAUAUCUGAUUAGCUAGUUGGUAGGGUAAAGGCCUACCAAGGCUACGAUCAGUAGCUGGUCUGAGAGGACGACCAGCCACACUGGAACUGAGACACGGUCCAGACUCCUACGGGAGGCAGCAGUGGGGAAUUUUGGACAAUGGGCGCAAGCCUGAUCCAGCAAUGCCGCGUGAGUGAAGAAGGCCUUCGGGUUGUAAAGCUCUUUUGUCAGGGAAGAAACGGCUGAGGUUAAUACCUUUGGCUAAUGACGGUACCUGAAGAAUAAGCACCGGCUAACUACGUGCCAGCAGCCGCGGUAAUACGUAGGGUGCAAGCGUUAAUCGGAAUUACUGGGCGUAAAGCGUGCGCAGGCGGUU
rnacentral:rRNA from 1 species